GGAGGCUGAGGCAGGAGAAUUGCUUGAACCUGGGAGGCAGAAGUUGCAGUGAGCCGAGAUCAGGCCAUUGCACUCCAGCCUGGGCAACAGGGCAAGUCUCCAUCUCAAAAGAGGGGAAGGAAAGUGCUGGGUAGAGGAAGGCAUGGUCCCUGGCUAGGGUUCCACCCCCAUGGACCUAGGUGAGGACAGGCAUUUCCUGCCCACAUGUUGUGGCAUUUCCCAAGACUACCCGGGCCUGCCAUGCUCCAUCUUGUGCCUAUAAAAACCCCUGAGACCCUAGUAGGCAGAUACUCUAGCGGCUGGACAUUGAGAGGAGUGGAUCAGUGGAAGAACGCACAAGUGGCUGGACGUCAAGCGGAAUCCACAGACAGGCACUGGCAGGCCUGGCAUUUGUGAAGCCGGCUGCGGCAGAAUGAUGUGGAGUUUGGCUGGGGCAGUCGUAGGAGAGCUCAGGCCGCCCAGGGGAAAAUCAUCUCCCUUCUGGCUCCCCCAUCUGCUGAGAGCUACUUCCAUUCAAUAAAACCUUGCACUCAUUCUCCAAGCCCACGUGUGGUCAGAUUUACACAAGGCAAGAACCCCAGGAUCCAGAAAGCCCUCUGUCCUUGUGAUAAGGCAGGGGUCUAGUUGAGCUGGUUAACACAAGCUGCCUAUAGAUGGCUAAACUAAAAGCACCCUGUAACACGCCCAGUGGGGCUUCACGAGCUGUCAACAUCCACCCCUAGACACUGCCGUGGGGUCAACACCCCACAACUUGCCCGUCUGUAUGCUCCCCCAGAGGUUUGAGCAGCAGGGCACCGAAGAAGUGAGCCACACCCCCAUUGCAUGCCCUGCGAAGGGGACAAAGGAACUUUUCCUGUUUCAGGGGAAUGGUCCUCACUGCCUCCUCCAGAUUUUCUGCCCUGAGUUGUGAGGACAGCACAGCUUGGGCUCUGUGUGUGCUCACUCAAUGCAGCCGCCAGCUGCUGCUCCCCCACGGGGUCUCGCUCACUGCAUGCGGGCUCUGCUGCUGCUGUCGGUCCUUGGCCUUGAGAAUUCCUCUCUGGGAAUGCGUGUUUCUCUCUGUGAACAUGUUUUGCCUUCUACAGGCCUCCUUAGCCUCAUCAGAGACUCCUGAAAUGAGUUUCCCGGUCCUGUGU
rnacentral:lncRNA from 1 species